CAGGGAUUGCCCCAGUAACGGCGAGUGAAGCGGCAACAGCUCAAAUUUGAAAUCUGGCCCUCGGGUCCGAAUUGUAAUUUGCAGAGGAUGCUUUUGGCGCGGCGCCUUCCGAGUUUCCUGGAACGGAACGCCAUAGAGGGUGAGAGCCCCGUCCGGUUGGACGCCUAGCCUAUGUAAAGCUCCUUCGACGAGUCGAGUAGUUUGGGAAUGCUGCUCUAAAUGGGAGGUACAUGUCUUCUAAAGCUAAAUACCGGCCAGAGACCGAUAGCGCACAAGUAGAGUGAUCGAAAGAUGAAAAGCACUUUGAAAAGAGGGUUAAAUAGUACGUGAAAUUGUUGAAAGGGAAGCGUUUAUGACCAGACUUGGGCCCGGUUAAUCAUCCAGCGUUCUCGCUGGUGCACUUGGCCGGCCCAGGCCAGCAUCAGUUCGUCGCGGGGGAUAAAGGUUUCGGGAACGUGGCUCCCUCGGGAGUGUUAUAGCCCGUUGCGUAAUACCCUGCCUCGGACUGAGGUUCGCGCAUCUGCAAGGAUGCUGGCGUAAUGGUCAUCAACGACCCGUCUUGAAACACGGACCAAGGAGUCGUCUUCGUAUGCGAGUGUUCGGGUGUCAAACCCCUACGCGUAAUGAAAGUGAACGCAGGUGAGAGCUUCGGCGCAUCAUCGACCGAUCCUGAUGUUCUCGGAUGGAUUUGAGUAAGAGCAUACGGGGCCGGACCCGAAAGAAGGUGAACUAUGCCUGUAUAGGGUGAAGCCAGAGGAAACUCUGGUGGAGGCUCGCAGCGGUUCUGACGUGCAAAUCGAUCGUCAAAUAUGGGCAUGGGGGCGAAAGACUAAU
rnacentral:rRNA from 1 species